AUGACGAAGAGCAAGACCUCCGCUCUGGAGCGCGCGAAGAAGGCGGCGGCGGCGGGGAAAGGGAAGAGGUCAGCUCGGGGUGGAUCUUCCUCUAGGACCGCUCUGCCCAAAGGUUGGAUCCAGGGCGACUGGAUGCCAUCGGUGCUCCAGCAAGAGGAUCUCGACGAUAUGGUCGAGGGGGGAGUCAUUCCCCACGAAGCUGCGCGUCUUCCAGGGGGAGAGAUCGAACCUCAACCCCGCGACGGUGAGUGCGUGCUCCUAGCCACCCACAUCGACCGAGGGUUUUCUCUGCCGCCCCAUCCUUUCUUCCGGAGUUUCCUGAAUUUCUUCGGAGCGCAGCUCCACCACUUCACUCCCAACUCCAUUGUCUACCUUGCUGCUUUCAUCUCCAUGUGUGAGGCUUUCUUGGGUUGUCGACCCCAUUGGGGACUCUUCAAACACAUCUUUACCUGCCGUUCUCAAUCGGUCAAGAAGGCUAAGUCGAGUGACGAGAGGACGCAGGUGAUCCAGCUGUGCGGGGGCCUGGUGAUCCAGACGAGGGGGAAGAGCUGUUUUCCAUCUAUCACCUUCCCGGAGUCGGUCCGUGGCUGGCAGUCGACCUGGUUCUACUGCAAGGACGAGGCGACCCCAGGACAGUCGACUGGUCUUCCUCUUUUUUCCCUCGACCGAGCCGAGAAGCCUGCCUCUCUGAAAGUCGCGCCGGAGGAAAAGGCCCAAGUCAAGGUGCUGGCAGGUCGAGUGGUUGAGCUUGUCCGUGAGGGUGUGACUGGUAUGGACCUGCUGGAGGUCUUCCUUCAAAGGCGCAUCCAACCGCUCCAGGCCCGCGACCACCCGAUGUGGCUGUAUUCGGGUCUUGAUGACACCACUCGGGUCCACCCGGAGGAGGUCACCGACGAGAUGGUGGAGGGUGGCUGUCGAGCAUCACGGGGAACAAAGACAACCCCCGAGGAGCCAGGAGGGUAA
rnacentral:rRNA from 1 species